AGAUUGAACGCUGGCGGCAGGCCUAACACAUGCAAGUCGAGCGGUAGAGAGGUGCUUGCACCUCUUGAGAGCGGCGGACGGGUGAGUAAAGCCUAGGAAUCUGCCUGGUAAUGGGGGAUAACGCGUCGGAAACGGACGCUAAUACCGCAUACGUCCUACGGGAGAAGCGGGGGACCUUCGGGCCUCGCGCCAUUAGAUGAGCCGUAGGUCGGAUUAGCUAGUGGUGAGUAAUGGCUCACCAAGGCGACGAUCCGUAACUGGUACUGAGAGGAUGGAUUCGAGUCACACGUGGAACUGAGACACGGUCAG
rnacentral:rRNA from 1 species